rnacentral:rRNA from 1 species
GACGAACGCUGGCGGCGUGCCUAAUACAUGCAAGUUGAGCGCUGAAGGUUGGUACUUGUACCGACUGGAUGAGCAGCGAACGGGUGAGUAACGCGUGGGGAAUCUGCCUUUGAGCGGGGGACAACAUUUGGAAACGAAUGCUAAUGCCGCAUAAAAACUUUAAACACAAGUUUUAAGUUUGAAAGAUGCAAUUGCAUCACUCAAAGAUGAUCCCGCGUUGUAUUAGCUAAUUGGUGAGGUAAAGGCUCACCAAGGCGAUGAUACAUAGCCGACCUGGGCGGGUGGUCGGCCACAUUGGGACUGAGACACGGCCCAAACUCCUACGGGAGGCAGCAGUAGGGAAUCUUCGGCAAUGGACGAAAGUCUGACCGAGCAACGCCGCGUGAGUGAAGAAGGUUUUCGGAUCGUAAAACUCUGUUGGUAGAGAAGAACGUUGGUGAGAGUGGAAAGCUCAUCAAGUGACGGUAACUACCCAGAAAGGGACGGCUAACUACGUGCCAGCAGCCGCCGUAA